rnacentral:rRNA from 1 species
AACGAACGCUGGCGGCAUGCCUAACACAUGCAAGUCGAACGAAGCCUUCGGGCUUAGUGGCGCACGGGUGCGUAACGCGUGGGAAUCUGCCCUUUGGUUCGGAAUAACAGUUGGAAACGACUGCUAAUACCGGAUGAUGACGAAAGUCCAAAGAUUUAUAGCCAGAGGAUGAGCCCGCGUAGGAUUAGCUAGUUGGUGUGGUAAAGGCGCACCAAGGCGACGAUCCUUAGCUGGUCUGAGAGGAUGAUCAGCCACACUGGGACUGGGACACGGCCCAGACUCCUACGGGAGGCAGCAGUGGGGAAUAUUGGACAAUGGGCGAAAGCCUGAUCCAGCAAUGCCGCGUGAGUGAUGAAGGCCCUAGGGUUGUAAAGCUCCUUUACCCGGGAUGAUAAUGACAGUACCGGGAGAAUAAGCCCCGGCUAACUCCGUGCCAGCAGCCGCGGUAA